rnacentral:rRNA from 1 species
AUUGAACGCUGGCGGCAGGCCUAACACAUGCAAGUCGAGCGGAUGAAGGGAGCUUGCUCCUGGAUUCAGCGGCGGACGGGUGAGUAAUGCCUAGGAAUCUGCCUGGUAGUGGGGGAUAACGUCCGGAAACGGGCGCUAAUACCGCAUACGUCCUGAGGGAGAAAGUGGGGGAUCUUCGGACCUCACGCUAUCAGAUGAGCCUAGGUCGGAUUAGCUAGUUGGUGGGGUAAAGGCCUACCAAGGCGACGAUCCGUAACUGGUCUGAGAGGAUGAUCAGUCACACUGGAACUGAGACACGGUCCAGACUCCUACGGGAGGCAGCAGUGGGGAAUAUUGGACAAUGGGCGAAAGCCUGAUCCAGCCAUGCCGCGUGUGUGAAGAAGGUCUUCGGAUUGUAAAGCACUUUAAGUCGGGAGGAAGGGCAGUAAGUUAAUACCUUGCUGUUUUGACGUUACCAACAGAAUAAGCACCGGCUAACUUCGCG